rfam:Ovis aries breed Texel chromosome 12, whole genome shotgun sequence.
UCCCUGAUGGUCUGAUGGUUAAGACUUCAUACUUCCAAUGCAAGGGGUGCAGGUUUGAUCCCUGGUCAGGGAA